GGGCGUCACGCUCUGUGUGUUCCACAACACAGGCAAGCCGGGUGCCCUGCACGAUAUACACACCUGCACACCUAAUUAGGUCAACAACGGCCAUGUUGAACGGUGUCACGAUGAGUUCCUAUAAGGGUGGAUGUGUCAUUGUUCCUUUAAUCGCUAUAUCAUACGCGCAGGAAAUGUGUUACACAAAAGCGUCCGAUGGGACAACCAGCGAAGAGAUACUGCGAAUUCAAUUGUUGUGGUAUUACAUCCUCCUACUGCUGCAGCGAACCAGGAACGGCAGAUACUGGACUUAUUGUUGGACUCGUGGUGGGGAUUUUGGCCGUGAUUGCUGUGAUCGUGGGUGUGGUCUUAUUUUGUCUCUUCCGACGUCGUAAAGCACGGAGACAAAAUGAAAAAGUGUCGACACACAGCCACGAAGACGAUCACUCAACAGUUUCAGACGAGGAUACCUAUCCAGAUAAAGGUUACCGAUCCCCGCCGGCACCAGACCCGUAUUACCUGCCUCCAGUAGAGAUGAAACGUCUCCCCACCCCUCCUCAUCAGUCCCAUUCAUCCACACAUAGACCCCCUUCCACGUCUUCUGCAACAAGGUCUACCACAGUUACGGAUAUAUGAUAAAUACGUUUUUUUCUCACAUAUAAACGUCACCGUAACAAGUGUUAUGGUGAGUUACAGGCUUUGGUUUGUCAUGACAGAAAAAUUGCCAGUAUGACAUAAAACGUUAACCCACUUCAGUCACUACAUGUUUUGCUUCAGAUAAGUAGAAGGUAAGUAGUAGUAUGCAAUAUUUCGUCAAUCUUAGCAUGUCAAUAUACCAUGUCAGUAAGUGUAUCAACUUUAAAAAUAUAUAUAUAUCGUUAUAAACAUGUACAACGCAGUAAAAUCCUGUAAAAUGAAACACACAGACCAUUAUAGAAUGCAUCAUAUUUGCCAUAUUUAAUUGUUUUAAUGAAGUUAAAACAAAAUAUUUUUUUCAACAAAAUCACUUACAAAGGCACACGGUGCAGGCAUCAUGUGUAUCAAAUACACACUAGACGCCAAAAGAAACGUUAUCCUCCUACCUUUAUGAAUUACUGAAAAACUAACAAAGAUAUGUUAGAAGGUUUUAGUUUACAAGAAAGC